GUUUCUCUCCUACAGAGGAUGCAGUGUCCAGGGCAUCAUCUAUGAAUGGAGACAACCUUUACCGGACACCAAACCUACCAGCACCAUGACCUUGAACUUUCCAGCCUUCUGAACUAUGGCGUACUGCUCUGUUGCCCAGGUUAGAGUGCAGUGGCUUGAUCAUAGCUCACUGCAGCCUUGAGCUCCUAGGCUCAAGCAGUCCUCUUGCCUCAGCCUCCUGAAUAGCUGGGACUACA
rnacentral:lncRNA from 1 species